AGUGAACGCUGGCGGUAGGCCUAACACAUGCAAGUCGAACGGCAGCGCAGGAGAGCUUGCUCUCUGGGUGGCGAGUGGCGGACGGGUGAGGAAUACAUCGGAAUCUACUCUGUCGUGGGGGAUAACGGAGGGAAACUUACGCUAAUACCGCAUACGACCUACGGGUGAAAGCAGGGGACCUUCGGGCCUUGCGCGAUUGAAUGAGCCGAUGUCGGAUUAGCUAGUUGGCGGGGUAAAGGCCCACCAAGGCGACGAUCCGUAGCUGGUCUGAGAGGAUGAUCAGCCACACUGGAACUGAGACACGGUCCAGACUCCUACGGGAGGCAGCAGUGGGGAAUAUUGGACAAUGGGCGCAAGCCUGAUCCAGCCAUACCGCGUGGGUGAAGAAGGCCUUCGGGUUGUAAAGCCCUUUUGUUGGGAAAGAAAUCCAGCUGGCUAAUACCCGGUUGGGAUGACGGUACCCAAAGAAUAAGCACCGGCUAACUUCGUGCCAGCAGCCGCGGUAA
rnacentral:rRNA from 1 species